UGUGGGUAGGGGUGAAAUGCCAAACGAACUUGGAUAUAGCUUGUUCUCUCCGAAAUAGCUUUAGGGCUAGCGUCGUGUGUUUAGUAUAGGGGGUAGAGCACUGAAUGAGCUAGGGGGCGCAAGCUUACCAACCUCAAUCAAACUCCGAAUACCUAUACUCCAAGCACGGCAGUCGGACUGUGUGAGAUGAGUUUCACAGUCGAAAGGGAAACAGCCCAGACCGUCAGCUAAGGUCCCCAAGUGUGUGUUAAGUGGGAAACGAUGUGAGAGUGUUUAGACAGCCAGGAGGUUGGCUUAGAAGCAGCCACCCUUUAAAGAGUGCGUAACAGCUCACUGGUCAAACGCUCUUGCGCGGAAAAUUCAACGGGGCUCAAACACACCACCGAAGCUACGGAUAGCAUCUUCUGAUGCUAUGGUAGGAGAGCGUUGUAUAGGAGAUACAAGGUAGAGCGAAAGCACUGCUGCGGCCUAUACAAGUGAGAAUGCUGGCAUGAGUAGCGCAAAACAUGUGAGAACCAUGUUCCCCGUAAACCUAAGGUUUCCGACGGAAGGUCAGUCCGCGUCGGGUUAGUCGGGCCUUAGCCGAGGUCGAAAGACGUAGGUGAUGGACAUCUGGUUAAUAUUCCAGAACCACUUAGACGGAGCGAUGAAGGGACGCGGCGUGGUAGGUCAGCCUCUUAACGGAUUGAGGUGCCAAACGCGUAGGACGUUGAUGGGUGUAGGCAAAUCCGCACCUGGAGUCCGAAACGUGAUGGCGGUGCCUUAGAGCCACAAGUGAUUGAGCCAUGCCGCCAAGAAAAGCUUCUAAGCGUUGAUAGCUAAGUGACCGUACCGCAAACCGACACUGGUAGGUGGGUAGAAUAUACCAAGGGGAUCGAGAGAACCUUCGUUAAGGAAUUAGGCAAAUUUCCCCCGUACGUUAGCAAUAAGGGGGGCCUCUGGUGGUUAGCUUAGGCAAAGCUGCUGGAGGCCGCAGAGAAAUGGCUCUUCCAACUGUUUAACAAAAACACAGGUCUCUGCUAAGUCGUAAGACGAAGUAUAGGGGCUGACGCCUGCCCAGUGCUGGAAGGUUAAGGGGAGAGGUUAGGGGUAACCCGAAGCUUUGAGCCGAAGCCCCAGUGAACGGCGGCCGUAACUAUAACGGUCCUAAGGUAGCGAAAUUCCUUGUCGGGUAAGUUCCGACCCGCACGAAUGGCGUAAUGAGAGGAGCACUGUCUCAACGAGGGACUCGGCGAACAUUGAAGGACGUGUGAAGAUACACGUGACCCGCAGCGGGACAAAAAGACCCCGUGAAGCUUUACUACAACUUGCCAUUGAGUUAGGGCUAAACCUGUGUAGUAUAGGUGGGAGGCUUUGAAGCUGGGACGCCAGUCUCGGUGGAGCCACCGUUGAAAUACCACCCUGGUUUAUUCUUGGCUCUAACCUGUCGCCGUUAUCCGGCAUGGGAACAGUGGCUGGUGGGUAGUUUGACUGGGGCGGUCGCCUCCUAAAGAGUAACAGAGGCGCCCAAAGGUUCCCUCAGGCUGAAUGGAAACCAGCCGUUGAGUGUAAAGGCACAAGGGAGCUUGACUGCAAGACAGACGAGUCGCGCAGGUACGAAAGUAGGGCUUAGUGAUCCCACGGUUCAGAGUGGAAUGGCCGUGGCUUACCGGAUAAAAGCUACUCCGGGGAUAACAGGGUAGUCUGGUCCAAGAGUUCAUAUCGACGACCAGGUUCGCCACCUCGAUGUCGGCUCAUCACAUCCUGGGGCUGGAUAAGGUCCCAAGGGUUGGGCUGUUCGCCCAUUAAAGUGGUACGUGAGCUGGGUUCAGACCGUCGUGAGACAGGUCGGUCUCUAUCCGCUGUGGGCGUAAGGGAUUUGAGAGAAGCUGCCCCUAGUACGAGAGGACCGGGGUGGACGGACCUCUAGUGUGCCAGUUGUUCUGCCAAGAGCAUUGCUGGGUAGCUACGUCCGGCAGAGAUAACCGCUGAAAGCAUCUAAGUGGGAAACUCGUCUCAAGAUUAGAUCCCUCAUCCGUAUGGAGUAAGACCGCUAGAAGACUACUAGUUUGAUAGGCGGCAGGUGUACGCAUAGCAAUAUGUUCAGCCAAGCCGUACUAAUGGUCGAGGGCUUACGUUA
rnacentral:rRNA from 1 species